rnacentral:rRNA from 1 species
UACAGAGGAUGCAAGCGUUAUCCGGAAUGAUUGGGCGUAAAGCGUCUGUAGGUGGCUUUUUAAGUCCGCCGUCAAAUCCCAGGGCUCAACUCUGGACAGGCGGUGGAAACUACCAAGCUGGAGUACGGUAGAGGAAGGUGGAAUUCCCGGUGUAGCAGUGAAAUGCGUAGAGAUCGGGAGGAACACCAGUGGCGAAGGCGGCCUUCUGGACCAGUACUGACGCUCAUGCACGAAGGCGUGGGGAGCAAACAGG